rnacentral:sRNA from 1 species
ACUCACAUCUCUGAGACAUCAUCCUGGUGGCUGUGGGACAUGACUUCAGUGGCAGCCUGAGGCUAUUGGAUGCUGCUUCAGAGGUCCAGGCCUGACUGCCCCUUUUCCUUGGAUCUAUGUAGUGGAUGCAGGCUGGAUGGCUCUGUGAAUACAGUCAAAUGACGAAUCCAGACAACAGCGACCCACUGACAACGGUGACCCAUUGCUGACCUAGCACGUGC